rnacentral:rRNA from 1 species
ACUCCUACGGGAGGCAGCAGUGGGGAAUAUUGGACAAUGGGGGCAANCCUGAUCCAGCCAUGCCGCGUGNGUGAAGAAGGCCUUAGGGUUGUAAAGCUCUUUCGGCGGGGAAGAUNAUGACGGUACCCGCAGAAGAAGCCCCGGCUAACUCC